CAUUCUUACUUUUGUACCUCGACAAGCAACAUCUAAAUUAUUUUUUGUAGUCUCAAAUUGUGUUGGGUUUCGGAACAUUUAAAGGAUCAAUCAUGUGCUGUGGACCUUGUGGUGGCUGCUGUGGACCAUGCGGUGGUUGCUGUGGUGGCGGCUGCUUUGGACCUAAUGUAUGUGGACCGUGUUGUGCGACUGGACCGUGCUUCGGCUGCUGUGGUGGCCCCUGUUGUGGACCUUGUGGUGGCUGUUGCAGUAGUUGUGGACCUUCAUGCUAAAACGGAUAGAUCCUAGGGCCUUAAUUGGUGUCAACCGUCCCAAUUAUGGUUCGUUUUCUAGAAACCCAUGAGUCUGCUAACAAAUGAAU